GUGCUUGCUUCGGCAGCACAUAUAUUAAAAAUAGAACAAUACAGAGAAUAUUAGCAUGGCCCCUGUGCAAGGAUGACACACAAAUUCGUGAAGUAUUCCAUAUUUUU